UAAGGUAGCGAAAUUCCUUGUCGGGUAAGUUCCGACCUGCACGAAUGGCGUAACGAUCUCCACGCUGUCUCAACCAGAGACUCAGUGAAAUUGAUGUGGCGGUGAAAAUGCCGUCUACCCGCGGAAAAGACGGAAAAGACCCUGUGCACCUUUACUAUAGCUUGACAUUGGAGCUUGGACAAUCGUGUGUAGGAUAGGUGGGAGACUGUGAAACUGGCGCGCUAGCGUUGGCGGAGUCAACCUUGAAAUACCACCCUCGGUUGUUUAAGCUUCUAACCUGGACCGUCAUCCGGUUCGGGGACAUUGUCUGGUGGGUAGUUUGACUGGGGCGGUCGCCUCCCAAAGAGUAACGGAGGCAUGCAAAGGUUCCCUCAGGCUGAUUGGAAACCAGCCGUCGAGUGCAAAGGCAUAAGGGAGCUUGACUGUGAGAGAGACAUCUCGAUCAGGCACGAAAGUGGGCCUUAGUGAUCCGGUGGUCCCGAAUGGAAGGGCCAUCGCUCAAUGGAU
rnacentral:rRNA from 1 species